AGGAUGAACGCUGGCGGCGUGCCUAACACAUGCAAGUCGAACGUCCUGUCUCGCAAGAGGCAGGGAGUGGCGGACGGGUGAGUACCACGUGGGUCAUCUACCGUGAGGUGAGGAAUACCGGCGAGAAAUCGCCGACAAGACCGCAUAGGCUCGAUGCAAGUCGAGCAAAGCUCUUUCGAGAGAGGGAGCGCCACACGAGGAGCCUGCGCCCGAUUAGCUAGCUGGUGGAGUAACGGUUCACCAGGGCGACGAUCGGUAGCUGGUCUGAGAGGACGAUCAGCCACACUGGGAUUGAGAACGGCCCAGACUCCUACGGGGGGCAGCAGUGAGGAAUUUCGUCAAUGGGGGCAACCCUGAACGAGCAACGCCGCGUGCAGGAAGAGGUUUUCGGAUCGUAAACUGCUUUUCUCGGGGAAGAGAACGGACGGUACCCGAGGAAUCAGCCCCGGCUAACUACGUGCCAGCAGCCGC
rnacentral:rRNA from 1 species